rnacentral:rRNA from 1 species
GAUGAACGCUGGCGGCGUGCCUAAUACAUGCAAGUCGAGCGAACAGAUGAGGAGCUUGUUCCUCUGACGUUAGCGGCGGACGGGUGAGUAACACGUGGAUAACCUACCUAUAAGACUGGGAUAACUUCGGGAAACCGGAGCUAAUACCGGAUAAUAUAUUGAACCGCAUGGUUCAAUAGUGAAAGACGGUUUUGCUGUCACUUAUAGAUGGAUCCGAGAUGCAUUAGCUAGUUGGUAAGGUAACGGCCUACCAAGGCAACGAUGCGUAGCCGACCUGAGAGGGUUAUCGGCCACACGGGUACUGAGACACGGUCCAUAGUCCGACGGGAGGCGCCAGUAGGGCCUCUGCCGCUAUGGGCGAAGGCCUGACGGAGCAACACCGAGUGAUUGAUGAAGGUCUUCGGAUCGUAAAACUCUGUUAUGAGGGAAGAACAAAUGUGUAAGUAACUAUGCACGUCUUGACGGUACCGAAUCAGAAAGCCACGGCUAACUACGUG